CUGGCGGCAUGCUUCAUACAUGCAAGUCGAACGUGAAGCCGACUUCGGUUGGUGGAAAGUGGCGGACGGGUGAGUAAUAUGUAGGAAAUCUGCCCUUGAGAGGGGGACAACAGAGGGAAACUUCUGCUAAUACCCCAUAUGAGCGUACCUGAAAUGGUAUUCUUGAAAACUCCGGUGCUCAAGGAUGAGCCUGCAUCUGAUUAGCUAGUUGGCGGUGUAAUGGACCACCAAGGCGACGAUCAGUAGCUGGUUUGAGAGGAUGAUCAGCCACAAUGGGACUGAGACACGGCCCAUACUCCUACGGGAGGCAGCAGUAGGGAAUUUUGCGCAAUGGGCGAAAGCCUGACGCAGCAAUGCCGCGUGAACGUAGAAGCCCUUCGGGGUGUAAAGUUCUGUCAGUGGGGACGAAUUUUGACGGUACCCACAGAGGAAGCACCGGCUAACUCCGUGCCAGCCGCGGC
rnacentral:rRNA from 1 species